rfam:Aedes aegypti strain Liverpool supercont1.207 genomic scaffold, whole genome shotgun sequence.
CCUCUCGUGGCGUUGGGGUAACGCGCCCUAUCUAGAGAAUAGAGAGUCGUGAGUUCGAUUCUCCCCUAGAAGA